AUUGAACGCUGGCGGCAUGCUUUACACAUGCAAGUCGAACGGUAACAGGCCGCAAGGUGCUGACGAGUGGCGAACGGGUGAGUAAUGCAUCGGAACGUGCCCAGUCGUGGGGGAUAACGCAGCGAAAGCUGUGCUAAUACCGCAUACGAUCUAUGGAUGAAAGCGGGGGACCGUAAGGCCUCGUGCGAUUGGAGCGGCCGAUGUCAGAUUAGGUAGUUGGUGGGGUAAAGGCUCACCAAGCCAACGAUCUGUAGCUGGUCUGAGAGGACGACCAGCCACACUGGGACUGAGACACGGCCCAGACUCCUACGGGAGGCAGCAGUGGGGAAUUUUGGACAAUGGGCGCAAGCCUGAUCCAGCAAUGCCGCGUGCAGGAAGAAGGCCUUCGGGUUGUAAACUGCCUUUGUACGGAACGAAACGGUCUGGGUUAAUACCCUGGGCUAAUGACGGUACCGUAAGAAUAAGCACCGGCUAACUACGUGCCAGCAGCCGCCGCAGUAA
rnacentral:rRNA from 1 species